rnacentral:lncRNA from 1 species
CGGCUCACCGAACAUCUUUCUAUAAUGGGCUGUAAGUCUGUAAACCUAUCUAAAUUCCCUACAUUAUCCACCUAAUCAACACUAAUUAACAUAAAAUCCUUAAACCUAUCUAAAUUCCCUAUACCAACCACCUAAUCUAUCCUAAACUAACCAAAUUAGAGAGGAAUUAGAACGAAUUAGAGAGACUUACCAUUGCUACGAAAUAGAGAGGAAAUGGAGAGGAAGGGGAGAGGAAAGAAAGAAUGAGCGCUCGGGUGUAUAUAUAAGAUUACAUAUCCUCGUUAUUUCCUCGUAGAGUUACGAGGAAUUACAAAGGCCCGUGUUUUAUCAUACGAGGAAAUAGCGAGGCCCGAGUU